rnacentral:tRNA from 1 species
GCCGAGCGUGGCGAACGGGCGCUCGCGCGUGCCCGGCGCGGAGUCGUCCCCGCCGGGGGCGACGAACAGUUCGAUCAUGGAUGCACCGCU